rnacentral:snoRNA from 1 species
AAUCCAUGAUGUUGGCAUCUCUAGAUCAGUGUUUUAAAGACUUCCCAAGCUUCAUGAAAACUUUCUCUUUCUAGUUGUUUAAAAGUUUCAAUCUCUCUCCUAAGUUG